ensembl:snRNA U6 U6 spliceosomal RNA
GUACUUGCUUUGGCAGCACAUAUACUAAAAAUUGAAACAAUACAGAGACUAUCAUGGCCCCCACAAAAGGAUAACAUGCAAAUUCAUAAAGCACUUCAUAUUUUU